AUGCUCGCUUUGGCAGCAUAUAUACUAAAAUUGGAACAAUACAGAGAAGAUUAGCAUCACCCCUGAGCAAGGAUGACAUGUAAACUAGUGAAGUGUUCCAUAUUUUU